AAAGAAAUUUAGCAAAUGUUAUGUCCAAACACUGUACAAAACAGAACCUUGUCAGACAAAGGACCAUUCAUAUUUCAGCAUCAAUGUGGAUUCAUAACUUGGAUCAGACUAUAGAGGGGGCAAUCCAGCAGAUUGUGCAAAAAGUAUCAACUCAAAGUACUUAAUUGAUAAUGAAAUUUCAUGAAUCAUUGUCGGCUCAAAAUUUUCUGACAUGCCUUCCGCUAACUGUGUGACUUGUUCAAGUUUAUCCUGCAUAAAAAGUAGAACCGGGGAAGAUAAGAGGCCUGACUAUUGUGAGUUGACCAAACUGAAAAACCUAGUGAAACUCAUGGUAUGAAGAAUCUCAUCUCAGUAAAUACAAUAUAACCAUAUAUAUACAAGGAGAAAAGAAAAGGACAAAAAGUACCAAUAGUAGAAUGAAAGAACAUGCAUGAUAGCAUCUACUGGGACAACAAUGAAUAAAAUUAAAAUAUAGCAAUGUAACUAAUAAGCACUAUCAGGUUUCCAAAAGGAUGUCUUUUACACAAAGCUUACCGCCAAAUUAAAUUAAAUUACAGCACCUUAUUCAACUCUGAUUCAAGCAACAUGAACAAUAUAUAUUAUCCAUGGAGUUCAUUUCUAUUCAGCAAGCAGUUUUAACUUCAGGAUGGGUGUUACAGUAUUUUUUUCCAGAGAUGUACAAUCAUAUUAACUUGUUAACUCAGCAAGUAGAUGUAUAAGCUAGCAGUUACUCCCUCCGUUCCAUAAUAUAAGAGCGUUUUUUACACUGCACUACUUAGUGUCAAAAACGCUCUUAUAUUAUGGAACGAAGGGAGUAGUGUUCUCAGAAAAUUCAAAUAGUAUUCUUACUGAACUAUGUAAGCCUAUUCAGCUAACCAUACAUCUCUAAAAAAAAUAACUCGAAAUAUAUGGUGGAUUCCUAGCUGACAUGAUCAAGGAGAAGCUGAUACAUGCAUAUGCAUAAAAUUAAGCAUUAUUUUUUCUCAUAUAAACAGAGAACCCUCAUGCUCCAUGAAAUUUGAACCAAAAAAUCAUGUUGAGUUUGAAUGAAAGCACAUGGCAAAUCAGAGAGAGAGAUCACAGGCGCCAAAAUCCUACACGACAAAGCGUGGUGCAGAAGGAGCGCAUCGGGAAAUUUGGCAUGUCAAGCUGGAUUGUCAACGGUGGCAAUGCUUAGGAUCUCUGUUAUGUACAAAUUUCUUGGGAAGUAAGAAAAUACCUGCUAGCCAAGGUAAAAUAGGAAAUACUUGGCAAAUGAUACUUGCACAUUUUUCUUUGUUUCUAUAAAUAGAGUAACUCUAGGUCUCCAACCACACAUAUUCCUAUGCAAAGUUACAAGGAAGAGAGGGGCCUUCAAAGCAUAAAUGGGUUCAUGCAAACAUGGGCAGAAUAGUAGCAAAAAACUAUCUAAUGAUAUGGAGGCAACCAACAUUUUUUCUGGCUUACAUGGGUGCAACUCAUUAUUACCAUAUGCAUACUCAGAAAGUGAUAAAACUGGAGCAUAUUACAAACCCGUAGUUCUAGUAAAAUGAAACCUUCCCACAUGGUAACCAAGCAAGUUCAUAAAAUUAAUGUGGUUUACCUAGGACAAACAUGUGAUUCGAAAACAACACCAUGUGGUUUCCUUAGGAUAUACUCCCUCCAUCCCAAAAUUCUUGUCUUAGAUUUGUCUAAAUAUGAAUGUAUCUAGUCACGUUUUAGUAUUUAGAUACAUCCAUUUCUAGACAAACUUAAGACAAGAAUUUUGGGACGGAGGGAGUAUAGUGUAGGUGUUUAACAUAGUGAUAAUAAUUGAAGAGCGCAACAAGGUAACAAGUCUCAUGAUUAUAUUCAUUGGCUGCAAGUAAAGCUGAAUCCGGAUAUCCAUCCAAGGUUGAGAUCUUGAGGGCGCCCAACACAUAUCCUUCAUCGAUAGUAAUAUUAAUCUUAUUUUCAAUAAAUACGGAAGUAUAUGAGUACAGCAACCAACAUUUAGCAUCUCUUCUUAGCAGGACCAAAAAGAGGAAAACAAAAACAAGGUAAGCCGACCAUCUUUUCUAACCAGCAUAAGUUAAUUUUUUUGUUCUGCUUGUAGGUCUACUAUAUGGCAAGAUUUAAAUAGCCUAAUCUUAUAUUUGACACGACAAACGAUGACAUGUGAACAGAGGAGGGUGGCUGGCAAGCGCACCAAGGAUGGAUGGACAAAACAAAUGCAUACAAUCCAAAUGUUGUCGAAGGGAAAUGAUCUGUGACCUGGGAACUAAGAAAUAAAAUAGGAUGAUCUCACCUUGUGUCUUCCAUUUGCCAUGGUGAUACUGAAUCACAAAACUGCAUUACAGAUACAUUAAACAUAUAUAACUUUGUUUUUGCAGGUGUCUUGAUAAAACAUUAUAGUGAUGAUUGCAGUUAUACGAUUUGUUUAUUCACUUUAAGUGAAAGUUAAAUGAUGAGUUCAUAGAUGAAACAACUAACCUCUAUAUAUCCUCAUGUCUUUAAUUGGAUAUAAAGAGAAAUGAGCAGGGAGGAAAUAGUACACGGCACUCUAGGGACUCAGGCUAACGCUAGCUCUACAGACUAUUUGCAAAGGAAAAAAGAAACUGCAUGUGUCUUGACUAAAACAUAAGUGUUCACAGAUGUACUAACAAAGCGCGUUCACUUUGUGGCAUCUGAACCGUUCAUCCAAAUCUUGUAUCUGAAAAAUGCAUGGUAUACUAAGAUAAUAGAUGAUCGAUGCUGAAAACAGAGCAGCUCAAACGGCAAAGAUGUGCAGCCACGAACACACACACACACACACACACACACAAAUAGGGAGACUAUUCCAUUCAAACUCAUACACAAAACUCUUCAAAAUAACUACUGGAAAUAUAUAUAUUCUUGAUGUCUGGCAGAGCCACAGAGCAAAAGAAAUGGCGACAAAAGUGUGGCGAAAAUAAACUUCUGGUUGUGACUCAUGUUUUCUUCCAUUGUUAGUUGAGAUAGAAGAUCUCCAGUGCGUUUAGAGAGAAUUGAAUUACUGAAUGUAAGCCUCCCAAGCAAUCAAAUAACACUAAAGGCAAUUCCUAAGCAAAUCUAAUGAACGCUCCUUUGAUCCUAUCAACCUUUCUCCCUCCAUACUCAUCUAGAUCCUAUCAACACAAGAAUUGAAGAAAACAUGGAGUCGCGGUACAACUGAACGAUACGAACUGAAAGAGGGAUUACAACAUUUAUUUUUCCUCUUACCGUAAGAUUCCUUCAACUAUACUGCUUUGGCCUUGCUGACAAGGUCGGCCAGCUCGUCAUUGUGACUGCAAUCUGCACAUGCCAAAGCACAAUCAAGUCGCAGCAAAAAAAGAAUACCCUCCACAUAACAAAGAACUAAUGAGGGAUUGUCAAAUAUAAACAAAACCUUAAAGCGUUCUUUAUGUGCAUGAUGGGACUGACCUAAUAGUGCCAUGAAUCUGAUCAAGGAAACAGCAAAGAAGAAGAGUCUUGUACAGGAAACUAAAAUCUAGCACAUUCUUUCUAACAUGUCCUAAACUGGCUCAGAAAAUGUGUCUUCAUAUUUUGAGUGCCAAAACAGUAAGUAAAUCAGCAGCAACUGAAGGUAAAUGCAAAGUGGCACCAUCGUGCAAUGCUAACCAUUAAAUAAGCAGCAGUGCAGCACUCUCGAUGAAUCAACCACCUACUGGACAUCCAAAUAGUAUUUCAAAUGAGAUACUUCGUCGACAGGUAUUAAGCGAGCAGACUGACAAGCCAUUGCAGAAUUUACCACGAUAGGGUGAGAAAAUAAUACUGUUCUUGUCAAUGUCUUCAAAGCAGUGCCAAUGGAAGGUAUUAAGCGAGCAGACUGAUACGCCAAAAGAAAUAUUUCUACUUUUAUGCCCGGUAAAUGGUACUUGACCAAAUAAAGAUCAAGACGAUUGGUUUUUAUAGUACAACAGGGGAUAUGUGAUUACAGAGUAAACAAACUUCAAACUCAGAUGGACAUUCCAUGUUCCACAUUAAAGCCCAGGCACAUCCUCUAGCAAAUAAUAAAUCCAAAUGAAAACAAGUGUCCAUUCCAAUAUCCAGGAGAUCCUGGACUGAAUUUUACAUCUAUGUAACUUUCCUAGGCAUCAUAAAAUAAAUGAUCAGAAAACUGUACAGAUUAGAAUACCAAAUUGGCAACCUAGCUAAACAUGUCGGUGGAGAAGCCUAUUAGGAAAUACUCCCUCUGUCCCAAAAUUAGGGUCUCAACUUUAGUACAACUUUGUACUAAGUUUGAGACACAUAUUUUGGGAUGGAAUCAGUAUUUUAAUAGAGGAUCAUGGUAAAGGUAAUCAACAUGUAUCAAAGAGCAGAUGCUCCGGCGCUCCCACCAAAACAGCAAAAUUUGGUUUGCACAGACAAAUCAAGUAUACUGUAAUAAGGUCACGCCACUACAACCAUAUCCUCACACUGUUAGACCUUUCAGCCUGAGCAUUGAUAGUUGUGGAUGACACUAGGAGAGUUGGGACGAUUUUUGUUGGUUUAUUUCUCACACAAUGCCAUGCCAACCUGAGGGGUUGGGGAUACAUAUUUAUAGGCUGCUAGCCAGCCAAGCAUAUGCUAAGAUGCUAGUCUAAGAUGCUGCUAAGAUGCUAGUCUAAGAUGCUAUCCUAACUGCCAGUCCUUGGUGGUCAAGGAUUCUAUCCUAACAGCCACAAGGACCAUGUGCUGUAGCCCCACAAAGGACCAUGUGCUGCAGCCCCACAAAGACCCUAGUACAGAGACUUAUCCAUCAUUCUCCCCCUAAGUCUUGUACGUCGUCUUGUGGGAGAGUCGAAUCAUCCCGAUCCUGGAGCAGAGUUCGAGGAACUUGAUCCUCCCAAGAGGCUUGAUGAGCAGAUCUGCGAGUUGGUCCGUGGUGUUGAUGUAGCUCGCCUCGAUGCUCCCUUCAUCCAAACAGCUUCGGAUGAAGUGGUACCUCAGUCGAAUGUGCUUGCUCCUUUCGUGGAAAACAGGGUUCUUUAUCAGGGCCAGGGUGGACGAGAAGAUCACCAUGCAGUCGAGCGAGCCAGAGCGCCUGAGUGCAGGCGGUGGAGGCCGAUAGGUUUAGACUUUUUAGAUUUGCAGUGUCAAUAUCAGCAGUAGCAACAGUGGCACUUUGCUCACUGUGAUUUCUUCUUAUCCGCAGCACCGCACAGUUGAUUGGCCUUUUGUGGGCAUCGACGGUGAGCUGGCCUGAGCCAGCCAGCUCUGGCAGCGGCGCCAGCAACGGCUGCCGCGGCCGCCAACAGCCAUUGCUGCAAAGCCGCGCGCCCGCGCCGCUCGGCACCGUCCAAGCCACCCGCUCGCUCUGCGUGUCCCGUCCUCACCUGUGCAUGCCGCAAAUGUCGUCGCCACGCUUUGGACGGCGUAGAGCGUCGUUUCUGUUGCCGUCGCGCCCGUGGCAAGCCGCGCCAUCGAGCCGUGAUUCCCGCCAAUGACUGCUCGAGCUUAGGCCCAAAAUGGAGCUCCCGUAGUGAGUUGUCGCUGCCCCCGCCCUGCAACAACCCGCUAAUCCCUUUGGCUAUUGGAAUUUGUCGCCGGAGUUUGGCUCCCGCGGCACCCCCUCUCUGCCGCCUAUGAAUAGAAGGCCUCGCGCAGCUAGGCAGCCCAGCACCACUCCACCGCUCCUCUGAGCCAUGCUCAAGCCACCAGAGGACCUCGGGGAGGUCUCCUUCCCCGACUACGGCCGCCCCGAUCCGCUUUGGGUCUCGGCAAAAUCCUCUCUGGUGAGUGAACGAGCGCACCCCAAAUUUAGUCAGUAGACCCCUGGUGAACCCAUUUUUCUAACCCGCGCCUCAAUUCGGUGGUAGACCCUCCCUCCGGCGAGAUCCAGUUGCACCCAACGCUGCCGUCCGUCGAAGAAGAAGCAGCCGUCGACAUGGUGCUCGCCCACGAAUGUUUCCACCAGCCACCAACGCGGAAGGACUCUGUGAGUGCUCAUGUGCCCUUAGGCACAUGCCUUGUCGUGGAUCGUCGCCGACGACCGCCGCAAGCUUCUGUCGCUGGAGGCAUUUUUAAACCUGACAGGUGGGACCCCCUCGUCAGGGUUCUUUUCUUUUUGAACCUUUUUCUGAAGCGCCUUUCUCGAGAGUGUGUUUUCUCUCUAGGCUUGGGUAUUUUCAACCAGGCGUUUUGCUCCUUUGCAGUCUGCCCCUGGGAAGAUUCUGUUUCAUUAUAUAUCAACCCCUGGUUUCAUUUUCUUUAUAAUUAUUAAACUGCAAAUUCUUUUCCAAUGAUUCUUUUUGCAAAAUUUUGCCCUUAUUGUCCAGUUUAUUUUCAUAUUUAUUUAAAUAUGUUUAGAGACAGUAACUAAGCCCUUAGCACUUACGUUAGUAUUCGGUGUAUGCGACGUAGAUUCUGACGAGGGAAACACCGUUGUCAACUUCAACGAGCUCGAUCCCGACUACGUUGAACCAGGCAAGCAUGUUUGAACUUUUGAUGCGAUGUUUGCUGAUAAUAUUGCUUCAUCAAUUGCUGCAUUAACCAACGCAUUUGCAUACUACUUAACAUAAUGAUAUACCCUGGAAAUGAUGGUCUGAUGUGGUGAUGACAGGCCAUGGACAACCUAAUCACGUGGGACGUGAUAGGUUGUUGCCUAGUCAUGUCGGAUGCAUGACAGUGAUGGAACGAAAUUAAAUAACUCCAGUGUCGACCUAGAUCGAGUCUUGUCAGCUUUUUAUUCCGUGUUGCCACAGGUUUUUCGAAAGGGAAUGCAGUGUAGUAGGUCGUGAAUCUAUUACCAGUUACACACCAAGUAGAGGGGCCAGGAUGAAGGUAUCCAUGGCCCUGGAAUAAAGCCAGUGAUCCGGUCAGGGGGCAUGGGUGUUUCCGGUUUGGGACCGAGAGGGAGGGCACUCCCUUGUAGCACGCGGUAGAAAUGUGAUCCCAUUGCUAGUCGAGGAUGUGGCCUCCCCGUCAUAUGGUUUUCCCCUGGCAGCGUAGCCCGGGUGAUGCCGAACUUCGCAGGGGGAAAAUGGGUGUGUACUGGUUCUGAGUGUUUGCUUCUAAAAUACCGUACGCGGGAUUAGUCCUAGUGACUAUUGGAAUCCGUUGGCUGUGGGUAAAGAGUACACCCUAUGCAGAGUCCAAACUAUUCGAGUAGCCAUGUCCACGGUCAAGGAUGGCUGCUUGAUAGGUCAAGUGUCAGUUUCUGGAGCACAAGUAUUGGUUAUAAAAAUGCUUAUGAUUGACAUCUGACAGUGAUGGAGGUUUAACUUGAUGAUAACUUGGUUGUGUGGAAUAUCCUGAAGAUUGGUUGUACCACCCAGAUGUUCCUUUUUUUAUGCCCCUUUUCAACGGUGUCGCUGAGACGCCCGACUAUGGUGAGUAUUUAUUUAAUUAUGCCCCUUGUUGCGGUGUCGCUGAGACACCCGACUGUGGCGAGUAUUUAUUUUAUUAUGCCCUUUCUGCGGUGUCGCUGAGACACUUGACUGUGGCGAGUAUUUAUUUUAUUAUGCCCUUUCUACGGUGUCGCUGAGACGCCCGACUGUGGCAAGUAUUUAUUUUAUUAUGCCCUUUCUAAGGUGUCGCUGAGACGCCCGACUAUGGCUUGUCAAUUUAUUUUUGCCCUCUAUGCGGUGUCGCUCAGAUGACCGACGGUGGCCAUGUUUUUAAUUGUUGACCUUUCGAGGCGUCGCUUCAGAUACCCGAUCGGUAUCUUCUUACUUCCUGAUACUUCGGGAGGACUAUCGCUCGACUUAUCAAUUCUAAAUUAAUCUAUUGACCAUGAUAAUCUUGAUAAAUUUAACCAUGCAAUAGAACUGUUGCAUUCAUCUUAUCUUUUGUACAAACUGUUUGCGAGUACUUUUCAAAAUAUUCACUAGCUUGUUGAUAUGGGCAGAUAUGGAUGAAGGAGACCUCAAGGACAAAGAGUUCGAUAGCGAGUCCGAAGCCUAGAGAAGUCCUAAUCAGUCUUGCGAUCUUGGAGUCCGUUGUUGUAUUGUUUCCCCGCUUCCGCCUUCCGCCAUCAUGAAUAAAUUGUCAGGCCUCACUCUAAUGCUUGGCGCGUAGUAGUACUUAUGUCAUGUCACUUCACUCUGAGGUGACAUGCCCACUUUUAUGCGAGCAGUAGUAUCACCCCUUUGACCACUGUAAUAUAUCCAUCCUUAUGUCAUCUAUGGGUGUGUUGUAAUAAACUGUUGAGCGACCCCCCCCCCCCCUCCACCCUGUUUAAUAUUAAGUACUACUGGUUUUUUGUAUCAAGAUUGGUCUAUCAGUGUGAAUAAUUUUUCUACACUGGUGACAUUCAUGGCUGAUUUUCAACAAAUUUAUUUUAUUUGGAAACUGGUCCUGACAAAGCGUCGCCCGGCUCGGGCGUUAGAGCCAAUUGCAUUGUCAGGCCGUGGCGCUCGCUCAGGGUAGGCCACGCAGCCGGCCCGACGAAGGGCAGCAACAUCCGUUGCGCAGGCGGGGCUCGUGGUGUCGGCUGGGGUAAGCACCGCCAGCCGUGUCGUCAUGUCGGCUGUCAACAGCCGACCGAGUGGCGUGACUCCUGCUCCGGCUUCCCCGCAGCUGGCUCCCGUACCGUUUGUUGGCGUGGGGAGAGGAGGCAUGUUGGGUUCGCCUCGGUCCGCCAGCUCCUCACCCUCCGGGUAUUGCAUUUCGGCGACGGCCGCCUGCAUCGCUUGCAUGUUCUUGAUCGGGGUGCUGCAAGCGGGUUAGGCUCCGCCCAGAGCCUCGUUGACCAGCCGGCCCUGUUGCCGGACACGCCUCAUCGCUAGCCAGCGUGAGGCCGUGGGCGCUGUUGUACUCUCGUUGUGCCAACUCCAGCAGCGUCGCACCGUAGCCAGCAUCGUGGCAUUGUCAAGAAGGAGCUGGCAUUGUGCGUCCAGCUCGGCAGCAGCUGCAGUCGGGUAGGCACCCGGCGUGACGGGGGUGCUGAUGCUCUCUGCAUCGUGGCAUGCAAUGAAUCCAAGGCGGACGUACCCACCGCGGCCGCUUCCUGCUUCGUAGCCAGCCGAUGAGUGAAGGAAUUGGAGCUGACGGUGAGCACUUCUGCACGAGUGCAGAGGUCUGCCACCUCGCGAGGGUACUCUUCAAAGACAACCGCGAUGUAGAUGUGGUGGUCGCAAAAAGGGGCGAUGGAGUCGCUUGUAGGGAAGGUGGCGUCCGUGAAGCACGCGGCGUUGUCGUUGACUCAACCGAGGGCGUCGUACCUAAUGACCAGCCCAUGCACGACGCGCUCGCCGGAGGCAGUGGAAGGUCCCGUCUGAAACGUGACUCUAGCCGACGUCACUAUCUACCCCACGAUGGACGCUAACUGUCGUGGUAUUCUCACGGUAGAUGCCAUGGUGGACGCCAACUGUCGUGGUAUUCUCACGUUAGGUGCUGACGGGCGUUGGGGGUGUCUAGAGGCGCUCAUGACACGAAGCUACCCAAGUUCAAGGCUCACCGAUGGAGGCAAAACCACUAGUUCCGACGAACUGACUAUGAGAGAUCAUGAUACACGAGCUCUAACUCACCUUCUCCACCUCACAUGCGUGUAAGUGUGUGAAAAUGGCCGACGCCCCCCCCCCCCAAACCUCCUUGGCAGUCCGCUUGUUGGAAAGCGAGAACUGCAUCUCGAGCGAGACUGCGGCGAUUAGGGCGUCCAACGCCCGUUGAUCCUCAUGAUGGUCGACGUUGCCGUCCUAGACCGCCUCCAUAGGUGCCACACCUGGAGCCUGAUCUUCAUGAUCGCGGCCCAUUCGACGUAGUUGGUUUUGGUGAGGGUAGGCCACCCAACACCGGGACCAACAUCCCUGACCACAAUCCAGACCUCGUAGAGGCCGCGGUCCUGGUCGUCGUAGCCGCCGUGUGCUGAGAGCGGCCUACAGACAUGGCCCGCCGUUGGGUGACUGUUACGUGGAGAAGAAGCUUCUUCUGACGAGCUGUUGCUCGGCAGUCUGGAGGGAGGGAGGUAACCAAGGGCAGUGAGAGCAACUGCUGCUACCGGCUGGGGCUGCUCAGCUCCCAAGGAGACAGGUGAGUAGGAAAUGCUCAGGCUACAAGACACACUGGCUCUGAUACCACUUGUUAGUCGUUUCAGCCUGAGCAUUGAUAGAAGUGGAUGACACUGGGUAUAGGCUGCUAGUCAGCCAAGUAUAUGCUAAGAUGCUAGUCUAAGAUGCUAUCCUAACUGCCAGUCCUUGAUGGUCAAAGAUUCUAGCCUAACUGCCAGUCCUUGAUGGUCAAAGAUGCUAUCCUAACAGCCACAAGGACACAAGGACCAUGUGCUGCAGCCCCGCAAAGACUUUAGUACAGAGGCUUGUCAUGUGAAGCGCAGUCGAUGGGGCCACCACCACCCGUGGAGGCCACUAAAUGUGGCGGUGUAGCAUGACCUCAAAGCGGGCAAAAGACACCAUGGUUAUAAUUUUUUAUUUAUUUUUUACGGAUCAACAGACAGAAGUCACUAAAGGGUCCCGAUGUAGCCCGGGGAACGAAUCAGCCGGUCGACCGUAGGAAUUCGGCGGCUGACGAAAGUGCUCGAGACUGAAAAAACAUCAAGGCUCAUGACGAGCUAGCAACGCAUGGCAACCGACGGCUGGACCCAACACGGGCGGGAGCUUGUGGCUGGAUUCAAAGCAGGCUACAGUCAACACCGGCUGGGAAAUCAGGUAGGCAACAGCACCCAUGCAACCACAAGACAGCUGCCAGCCCGACGCAAUCCUAGACCAGGACAAGCGAUGCGACGGGCGCGAUCCGAUCAGGAGUAGGAAACUGUUGUGGCGGCUCAAUCGGGAUGGGCGGCGGAGCGGCGGAGGAGUCCUGUAGAGGCUCAGGACAGACCCGCCGACGCAGGCUGGAAGGCUCGAGGCGAGCUGACUCGAAUCGGAUCGAGGCGAGGUGGAGACGUAAUGGUAGCUUCGGUGACCGGUGUAGUUAGAAGCAGCAGGAGGACUAGAGGAAAACGCAAUGGCGACGAGGAUCAAACACGAGUUGUGUGUGUUAAAAAAACCUAAGCUCUAAUACCAUGUUAGAAAAUAUGCAAUUUGUAUUCACAUAAGGACAUAGGCCAUUAUAUACACAUAUAGGUGCAGGAAAUGUGCAGAAGACCCCUUAUACGAUGGGGUAAAUACAAAAAGCUACAGGGGUAUAUAUAGUACUCUAACAUAUAUGAGGAGAAGAUCCCUUGUACAAUGGAGUCGCUCACACAAAAUAACACAGGGACACAACUAGGACAUGACCAUUUUAAUCUAAUCGAUAUAUGUCUACUCCAACCGAGCGCACCGCACACUAAUCCCAUCCCCCCAUAGAGGUUGGGUGUGCACUAAGAGAAGAGCAGAAAUUAUAUUUGAUAGCAUUUUAACAACCAAAACAAACAAACAACCUAGAAAGAAAUAAACAAUACUCCAAACAAGUUAAAUGAUGCCUACAAAGACUAAAUCACAACAUGGCUUCAAGCAAGUCCUAAACUACCAUGGUUUAGGGUCAUGUUGUGACGAUAUCUGGUCAUGCAAAGGAAUGAGUUCAACUAACGACCAUCCUAACACAUUGAAAUGAGAGCCAAUUAAUGUUUCUAAAUCACAAAUUACGCUAACGUAGUGUGUUCUAUUUUACUAAUGAUGUUAAAGUUAUAGUACUCUUUAUGCACGCUACCACAUCACAUAGCACGGCAAGAGGAGGUAAUGGACAUACCAACGACGGCACUGAAACCGCCAUGGCAUGGCACGGCUGGGCCUGCACACCAUGAUGGGAGCACCGAGGUAGAGUCUUGGAUCAUCGAAGCAACAUCCCAAUGAACAAAGGUUAAGAUUUAAAUGAUGUGGUAGCACGAUAAAUUAUAUGUCAGCUAUCACUAGACUAAAUCACCAAUUAUGCUAAGUUAUGUGUCACUAAAUCGCCAACUAUCUCAUGGAGUUCUUUAUCUAAGUGAAAACAAGGAGAGGAGGUAAAGUACAUACCAGGGCCGAAACCACCAUGGUUUGCACGACCAAGACGGGAGGUCCAACGCAAAAUCUUCGGUCAUCGCAGCAACAUAUUACUUCCAUCACAUCAGAAAAAUCCCGUUCGAACAAGGUUAAGCAACCUGCUCGCCGUA
rnacentral:lncRNA from 1 species